rnacentral:rRNA from 1 species
AGGUUACUGCUAUCGGUGUUCGCCUAAGCCAUGCGAGUCAUAUGUUCUUCGUGAACAUGGCGUACUGCUCAGUAACACGUGGAUAACCUGCCCUUGGGUCCGGCAUAACCCCGGGAAACUGGGGAUAAUUCCGGAUAACGCACAUAUGCUGGAAUGCUUUAUGCGUCAAAUGGAUUCGUCCGCCCAAGGAUGGGUCUGCGGCCUAUCAGGUAGUAGUGGGUGUAAUGUACCUACUAGCCUACGACGGGUACGGGUUGUGAGAGCAAGAGCCCGGAGAUGGAUUCUGAGACAUGAAUCCAGGCCCUACGGGGCGCAGCAGGCGCGAAAACUUUACAAUGCGGGAAACCGUGAUAAGGGGACACCGAGUGCCAGCAUCAUAUGCUGGCUGUCCGGGUGUGUAAAAUACACCUGUUAGCAAGGGCCGGGCAAGACCGGUGCCAGCCGCCGCGGUAACACCGGCGGCCCGAGUGGUGAUCGUGAUUAUUGGGUCUAAAGGGUCCGUAGCCGGUUUGGUCAGUCCUCCGGGAAAUCUGACGGCUUAACCGUUAGGCUUUCGGGGGAUACUGCCAGACUUGGAACCGGGAGAGGUAAGAGGUACUACAGGGGUAGGAGUGAAAUCUUGUAAUCCCUGUGGGACCACCUGUGGCGAAGGCGUCUUACCAGAACGGGUUCGACGGUGAGGGACGAAAGCUGGGGGCACGAACCGGAUUAGAUACCCGGGUAGUCCCAGCCGUAAACGAUGCUCGCUAGGUGUCAGGCAUGGCGCGACCGUGUCUGGUGCCGCAGGGAAGCCGUGAAGCGAGCCACCUGGGAAGUACGGCCGCAAGGCUGAAACUUAA